UUUCCGUAGGUGAACCUGCGGAAGGAUCAUUAAAGAACGCCCCGUUUUUUGAAAUGGGUAAUUCUAAACCGUGUAUACAUACCUUUGUUGCUUUGGCAGGCCGCCCCUCAGGGCGUCGGCUCCGGCUGACUGCGCCUGCCAGAGGACCCGAACUCUUUUGUUUAGUGAUGUCUGAGUACUAUAUAAUAGUUAAAACUUUCAACAACGGAUCUCUUGGUUCUG
rnacentral:misc_RNA from 1 species